rnacentral:tRNA from 1 species
GGAGAUAUAGCUCAGUGGUAAAGCACUUGUCUAACAUAUGUGAAGUCCUGUGUUUAAUCCCUAGUAUCACCA